GACGAACGCUGGCGGCGUGCCUAAUACAUGCAAGUCGAGCGGAAGUUGGAGAGCUUGCUCUUCAACUUUAGCGGCGGACGGGUGAGUAACACGUGGGCAACCUGCCCUGCAGAUCGGGAUAACUCCGGGAAACCGGUGCUAAUACCGAAUAGUUUUCGCCACCUCCUGGUGGCGUACGGAAAGACGGUUUCGGCUGUCACUGCAGGAUGGGCCCGCGGCGCAUUAGCUAGUUGGUGGGGUAACGGCCCACCAAGGCAACGAUGCGUAGCCGACCGGAGAGGUGAAUCGGCCACACUGGGACUGAGACACGGCCCAGACUCCUACGGGAGGCAGCAGUAGGGAAUCUGCCGCAAUGGACGAAAGUCUGACGGAGCAACGCCGCGUGAGUGACGAAGGUUUUCGGAUCGUAAAACUCUGUUGUGAGGGAAGAACAAGUACCAACUAACUACUGGUACCUUGACGGUACCUCACCAGAAAGCCACGGCUAACUACGUGCCAGCCGCCGCGGUAACAC
rnacentral:rRNA from 1 species